UACGGAGGGUGCAAGCGUUAUCCGGAUUUACUGGGUUUAAAGGGUGCGUAGGCGGCUCUUUAAGUCAGUGGUGAAAGCCUAGUGCUUAACACUAGAAUUGCCAUUGAAACUGAAGAGCUUGAGUCAAGGAGAGGUAAGCAGAAUUUAUGGUGUAGCAGUGAAAUGCUUAGAUACCAUAAGGAAUACCAAUAGCGAAGGCAGCUUACUGGCCUUGCACUGACGCUGAGGCACGAAAGCGUGGGGAGCAAACAGGAUUAGAGACCCUGGUAGUCCACGCUGUAAACGAUGAUCACUCGAUAUACAUACUUGAUAUGUGUGUCUGAGCGAAAGCAUUAAGUGAUCCACCUGGGGAGUACGCCCGCAAGAGUGAA
rnacentral:rRNA from 1 species